AGUGAACGCUGGCGGCAGGCCUAACACAUGCAAGUCGAACGGCAGCACAGUAAGAUCUUGCUCUUACGGGUGGCGAGUGGCGGACGGGUGAGGAAUACAUCGGAAUCUACUUUUUCGGGGGGGAUAACGGGGGGAAACUUACGCUAAUACCGCAUACGACCUACGGGUGAAAGCAGUGGAUCUUCGGACCUUUCGCGUUUGAUUGAGCCGAUGUCGGAUUAGCUAGUUGGCGGGGUAAAGGCCCACCAAGGCGACGAUCCGUAGCUGGUCUGAGAGGAUGAUCAGCCACACUGGAACUGAGACACGGUCCAGACUCCUACGGGAGGCAGCAGUGGGGAAUAUUCGGCAAUGGGCGAAAGCCUGAUCCAGCCAUACCGCGUGGGUGAAGAAGGCCUUCGGGUUGUAAAGCCCUUUUGUUGGGAAAGAAAAGCAGCAGGUUAAUCCACCGCUGUUCUGACGGUACCCAAAGAAUAAGCACCGGCUAACUUCGUG
rnacentral:rRNA from 1 species